UGCGAUUUGUGCACGUCAUGUACAUCUUCAGAAAGGUCUCAGUGCCGUGAAUGUGAAUAUGUGUGAGAGCGGAGACAGUGGCGAAAGGCAACCGCGUCACUUGCAAUUUCAUCCCCAUGCGCCCACUGCAGACUCAAUAGGCCCUGCGCCGCCUUUACUCGGCUCGGGCCUAA